UACGGAGGGGGGCUAGCGUUGUUCGGAAUUACUGGGCGUAAAGCGUACGUAGGCGGCUUUGUAAGUUAGAGGUGAAAGCCCAGAGCUCAACUCUGGAAUUUGCCUUUAAGACUGCAUCGCUUUGAAUCGUGGAGAGGUUAGUGGAAUUCCGAGUGUAGAGGUGAAAUUUCGUAGAUAUUCGGAAGAACACCAGUGGCGAAGGCGACUAACUGGACACGUAUUGACGCUGAGGUACGAAAGCGUGGGGAGCAAACAGGG
rnacentral:rRNA from 1 species